UGGGGAAUAUUGCACAAUGGGCGCAAGCCUGAUGCAGCCAUGCCGCGUGUAUGAAGAAGGCCUUCGGGUUGUAAAGUACUUUCAGUCGGGAGGAAGGUGGUAAGGUUAAUAACCUUGGCAAUUGACGUUACCGACAGAAGAAGCACCGGCUAACUCCGUGCCAGCAGCCGCGGUAAUACGGAGGGUGCAAGCGUUAAUCGGAAUUACUGGGCGUAAAGCGCACGCAGGCGGUUGAUUGAGUCAGAUGUGAAAUCCCCGGGCUUAACCCGGGAAUUGCAUCUGAUACUGGUCAGCUAGAGUCUUGUAGAGGGGGGUAGAAUUCCAUGUGUAGCGGUGAAAUGCGUAGAGAUGUGGAGGAGUACCGGUGGCGAAGGCGGCCCCCUGGACAAAGACUGACGCUCAGGUGCGAAAGCGUGGGGAGCAAACAGG
rnacentral:rRNA from 1 species